UAUGAGAUUAGAGAUUUUAAAAACACAUACAUAUAUUUUCACUCAGUGUAGUGUAUGAGCAGCUGAUUGGACAUGCAGACAUUUUGCUUGAAUAUUGUACCACUUAAUGAACACUGUUGAAUCAGUUGCCCUAACUUUAAAAAAAAAAAAACAACGAAGUUCCCCAUCUUGUUCCACUUCCCUUCUCGUGACAGAAGAAGCAAACGGUUAACGGCAAGACACAGAGACACAGAGGAGAGUGGGGUUGUGCUGGGGUGGGAAUGUUCAUCAACAUCAAAGUGGGAUUUUAUUUUAAAAAACAAAACAAAGUCAUAACAAGUACACAAGAAAAGAUUUGAUGUUAUUGCUUUCAUGCUGCUGUUGCACAGAGAUUUCUAAGAGCACAAAAGUUUGUUUUUUGGGUGGGUGUCAGCAGGCGGAGAAGAAAGAGGGUGGUGGGCAUGACGGAGUAUGGGGGGCGUCUGCAGCUCACGUGCACACAGAUGAAGUGAGAAACACGUCUUUCUGUCCCUUAGCCUGCUGCUGCUUUAAAGGUGCUUCUACAAACCCACAGAAUGACUUCCAUGAAAUCUUAUUCCUGCCAAAUAAAGAGUCACUUUUGAAUCUUUUUAAUGAUUAAUACGAUAGCUUUAACUACCUGUAGGCUUUAGGUCAGCUUCCUGCUUUCUGCACUUCAGCCUUUUAUUUUGUAUUUUCUCCUUAAUUGUUUUGUCCUACAACGUUAUGGUUCCUUUUUUUCUUUGUACCCACAUAGAAGCUAGAGGCUGAACUGGCUUGGAUUUAGUUGAGGGGGAGAUGAUGAGGGGGUUUGUUUGGGCUGAGGGGGGAGUUCUGUGCCAGAGACCUGUGAAUAUGUUGCUUUUAAGCAGAUGUGUAAUUCAGAAGAUGUAUAAGUUCCAUUUUUUUUUUGUGCGUGUGAGCGUGCGUACACGAGUACCUGGUGCUGGCUAUGCUUUAGCAAACACUUUAAGGUAUUGUGUAUUCUCUCAUUGUAAUAUAAUUAAAAUGUUUUAUACAGAAA
ensembl:lncRNA